CUUCACCCCGACCAGCUCCACUCCACCAGCUGUGCCGCUCCUCCAGCCAACCUGUGAGCCGCUCCAGCCGAACCCGCAAACCACUCCGCUUGCUGUUCCAUGGGCCGCUCCAAUCAUCCCACAAACCGCUCCGCUCACUGUUCCAUAGGCCGCUCCAACCGUGCUGCAAACUGCUCCGCUCCGCAGGCUGCUCCAACCGUGCUGCAACUGCUCCGCUCUGCCAGCCACUUAGCAAUAGAUCUUCAGGCUCCCCCAUCAGUGAUCUCAGCUCAAAACAGGCAAGAAACAACAUCAGUGAUGGGCCUUCCCUUCAAAGAAAACUACAGCAUUCUGGACUCAGAUACUAUGGUGAUGGAUAUCAUAAAUCUCUUGAUAGAGGUACAGCAAUCACUGCAGUAUGUCUAUUAACUGUUAAAAAACCCUUCAGUGACACCUGGCGAUGCGACCUUCAGGCUGAUAGCAAAAAAAUGGGCUAGACCUGGAACCAGCUACAGCGAAUGGCCCAGGAUAGAGGACUCUGGAGAUCUGUGGUUGGCAGCCCAUACCCCGAUUGGGGUGACGGGCAUGAGUGAGUGAUUUUGAACUUUGCUUCAUAGCCAACAUUGGCCAUCGUCCACCCCACUCCCACCACCAUGUUAAAUGAAAUUGAAACUACCACAACCACAUUUCAACGUAUUUGCUUAUUCAUCUGUCACCAUCUUGGUUGCACAAAGACUUGGGACGGACUCAAAGACCAGAACCAACUGAUGCAUUUGGGAAACAGUCACUUUUCUCUAGUCUCUGUUCACAAAAAGUUAAAGAAACUUUGUUUUUAUUAGCAGGGAAAG